UAGGGAAUCUUCGGCAAUGGACGAAAGUCUGACCGAGCAACGCCGCGUGAGUGAAGAAGGUUUUCGGAUCGUAAAACUCUGUUGUUAGAGAAGAACAAGGACGUUAGUAACUGAACGUCCCCUGACGGUAUCUAACCAGAAAGCCACGGCUAACUACGUGCCAGCAGCCGCGGUAAUACGUAGGUGGCAAGCGUUGUCCGGAUUUAUUGGGCGUAAAGCGAGCGCAGGCGGUUUCUUAAGUCUGAUGUGAAAGCCCCCGGCUCAACCGGGGAGGGUCAUUGGAAACUGGGAGACUUGAGUGCAGAAGAGGAGAGUGGAAUUCCAUGGGUAGCGGUGAAAUGCGUAGAUAUAUGGGGGAACACCAGUGGCGAAGGCGGCUCUAUGGUCUGUAACUGACGCUGAGGCUCGAAAGCGUGGGGAGCAAACAGG
rnacentral:rRNA from 1 species